ensembl:lncRNA
CUGGGUUCCAGGCCCAUCUGUGCAAUUUAUUAGGGGUGAGAUUUGGGGCAAUUUAUUUAACCUCUCUUUGCCUCAGGUUCCCUAUCUGUAAAAUGGGAAUGAUAACAAUAUACUUACUUCAAAGGGUUGUUGUGAGGAUUAAAUGAGUUAAUAUAUGUAAAAUUCUUAAAACACAUGGUGUAUGCACAUAGUAUGAGCUACAAGUUUGAUAAAAAACAUUGGUUGGCUAUUGAUCACAUAUAGUUAGGCAACUAGGAUGCGGAUAGAAAAAAAGUCUCUAUUUUUUUUCAAAAUCUGUAUAUAUGUAAGUAAUCACUAUAUAUAUAUAUAAAGAUAAUGCACAGAGAGAACCCCUUGGGAAGAAAUGCCAAGUCAGUCUGGAACACAGGCUAGUUCCACUUCCCCCGUGACACUUGCUAACGUUGCUUCGCUGAUGUCCACAGAAAUUGUUGCAGUGUUUACAAAUAAAUCUCCAAAUAUUUAACAAAAGUGGUGCAAAAUACGCUAACUAGGUCUCAGUGUUCUUAACAAAACGGGACAUUUUUCCAAACGCAGUGCUGAAUUGGGCUUUGUUUCUUUUUAAAAUCGCUUCACUCCCUCCUUCCUUCCGUUUCACCGGGAGAGUGUGAGGGGUCAAGAAUGUUUUGUGAGUUUAGAUACAUUUAGAUAAAUUGCUCAAAUCGCCCAAGGUGACCCUAUAGACUAGUAUCCUGGUUCGCCCAGACAAGCGUCCCGCUGCCGUCAGCGCGCGGUUAGGAACAGCAUCCCCUCGCUCUUACAGGUCUUCGUGUGGACGGUCCACCACCUCGUACAUAGGAAAAGGAGAGGCACCUGCACGUGGCGGCGUAUCUGGAAUCGAGGUGUUAGUGUUUGGGGCUUCCUGUGUUCUUGGAGGCGGGAGGGCGAUUCAGCGGGCGACUUUCGGUGUGGAUGGCCUCGGGCUCCCGCGCGGGCAGAAGGCUGCCCUGGACGGGCCGGGGCGCCGCUCCCGGACGGGCCGCUCCUGCCGCAGCCGCGCCCGCGCCCGAGGCAGCUCCCGACGCCGGCGGCCCGCGGGCUCGGCCGUGUCCCCGGGGCAGGCCAGCCCCAGCCGGAGGCCCGGCCCCCGCUGGCAGGCCGCGCCCCACUGUCCGCGCUGGACGGUAACCUGAGGACCUAGUUCCGCAUCUUAAGUUAAAAAGCAAGAAAAAAGAGUUAAGAAAGAGUCACUUUUUUAAAGCGCCCGUGCUGCAGCGAGCUGUGGGCAGCCCAGCAGGAGUAGAUCCCGGGGGGCGGAGUGGACGCUGGGGGGGCGGCGCGGUCCCAGCCCCUCCUCCCCUCCCGCGGCGCGCAGCCGGGCGGCGUGCCAGGCGGCUGCGUCCCCGGACUGGCGGCAUCCGGUCUCCGAGUACCGACUCGCGAGGCGGCGGCCUCUGUCCCGAGAGCUCAGCGGUCCGCUCCGCCCCUCCGGAAGGCAAGUGCCCGCAGUGCGCGUGUUGCCACCAGGCGGCUUCAGCCUGCAGGAUUUCUCGGGGUCCGGGGCAGCCCGGGCCGCGCGCGGCGAGCGGCUCUGAGGGUCGAGCACCGCCGCGUCCCCCGCCCCUGCAGACGGAGCGGCGGGCGUGCGCCUGCGCUGUGACGUCGGGGCGGCAGCCGCGGUUGACGACAGACGCGGGGCGGCGACGCAGGGCUGGAGGAGGCGGCAGAACUGAACGGCGUCCUCCCCGCGGCCUGGGGUCUUGGCGCUUGGCACGACCUGCGGCCGACCUGAGAGCCGCCGAGGGCCGCUGUGUGCGCGCAGGAGCCGCCCCCGCCCGGCGGGCGGUGCCCUGGGGGGCUCGAGAGCUGCGGCCCGGGCUCCAGCGCCGAAGACCCUGGAUUCGAGGCUCAAGAGCCAGAGCAACAUCUCUCAUCCGUUAACUUUGAGUGGUAUCUUUUGCUGAACAGAAGUACUUAAGACUUACCGCGGAAGAAUGAGGACUCCAAAGAUUUAGUAAUGUGCACCCCACAUCUGCUUGCAUCUCUGGCCAGUCGAAAGCUGGUAAGGGAAACUCACCGUUGUCCCUCGUCAACCUCGUCAGGUCUGUUUUACUGUGCGGGUCAAAAGGCAAGGCGGAAAGAAGGACUGGUGCCUGAGGAAGGCUUCCAGGAAGAACAGAGAGGCCAGGGGCUCCGGCAGCGACUCUGCAGCUACCAUUCCUGCUAUCAGCAAAGACUGAAGAGGGGUGAUGGGAGAGAGGCCCGCGGCCGCCAGAGCAAGGAAACCAGAAGGAUGGUGGGAGGGGAGGUGUAGAAAACACAGUGAGGUUUCUCGACUUACUUUUCUCCUGCCUUCUGAACAUUCAAUUCCCACUGGGAACUAAAGGUCCUCUCCCCAAUCCUUGCUUCCCAUCCCACGAACUGAAAUAACAAGGUCCGUGGAGCCAAGGAUGGGAUGGGACAGCUCCUCCGAAGGAGCUCAUUUCAGUAACAGCGCCGAGUGGGAGGGCCGGUCUUUUGUACUUCACCAAAGUGUCCCAACUGUUGAAAAUUUCAAACUGGUCCGUUAGUAGAAAUAAUGAGUUAAAUUUUUUCAUGGAAGCAACUGAAUUGUGUACUGGCAUGCUUAGGUUUAUAGAAACGACAAAAUUUAUUGUCCUCUAGAAUAAACAUGGAAUAAUUAAAUACCCUGAAUGUCCCCCAUCGAGCUAAGGCGGUGAUACAACAGUCCCCGCCGGCGUUGCUCUGAGGCCCAGGGCUAAUACUCACCAAGGGAGAAGUAAAAGCCUUGCGUGCCCUUGUGCACAAGGCUGCUUCUAGGAUUUCUUCUAAUUAAUAAGAGACGGUUUGUCCUUUGAAUAAUAGUUUGAUUCCGUGCUGGGGACAGAUGUCGUCAAGGGAUUUCCUUGGCCUAACGUAGUGGUCUGAGCCAGGGGCUUCUUUGGCAGAAGCUGGCGCUGGGAGCCAAGGUCACUGGCUGGGUCUCUGUAAGGCAACGACCUCUCCAUCAAAAGCCAGAGAACGUCUCUCUGAUCCCAGCUUCAAAUGGGUCUUGCUUCCUGCAUAUUCAGGGCUAUUGUUACGUGAGGAAAUGUAUGUGACCGUGCAUGCAGGCGCUGUUAUUUAUCACUUGUUCUCUGUAGCUGGUGGUGAUGAAAAAGAACAUCCUGUGGAUGCCCCGGUCUAAACUUCCUGCCGCUGACGACAGAGCAGCUCCAAGCACUGCAGACAUCUGACGCCGCUUCUCGGUGUUAAAAA